AUUGAACGCUGGCGGCAUGCUUUACACAUGCAAGUCGAACGGUAACAGGGAGCUUGCUCCGCUGACGAGUGGCGAACGGGUGAGUAAUGCGUCGGAACGUGCCGAGUAGUGGGGGAUAACGCAGCGAAAGUUGUGCUAAUACCGCAUACGUACUGAGGUAGAAAGUGGGGGACCUUCGGGCCUCACGCUAUUCGAGCGGCCGACGUCUGAUUAGCUAGUAGGUGAGGUAAAGGCUCACCUAGGCGACGAUCAGUAGCGGGUCUGAGAGGAUGAUCCGCCACACUGGGACUGAGACACGGCCCAGACUCCUACGGGAGGCAGCAGUGGGGAAUUUUGGACAAUAGGCGAAAGCCUGAUCCAGCCAUGCCGCGUGUCUGAAGAAGGCCUUCGGGUUGUAAAGGACUUUUGUCGGGGAGGAAAUCCCCAGCGCUAAUACCGCUGGGGGAUGACAGUACCUGAAGAAUAAGCACCGGCUAACUACGUGCCAGCAGCCGCGGUAAUAC
rnacentral:rRNA from 1 species